AGUGGGGUUAGCGCUCUCCCGUGCGGUUAGACUACCUACUCCUGUAGAAACCAAUUCCAUGGGGGGGAGGGGGGGGGUGAACAGGGCCCGGGAACGUAUUCCCCGCGACAUUCUGAUUACGAUUUCUAGCGAUUCCGACUUCAUGGAGUCGAGUUGCAGACUGCAAUCCGGACUACGAUCGGUUUUAUGAGGUUAGCUUGAUCUCGCUAGGUAGCUACCCUUUGUAUGCACCAUUGUAGCACGUGUGUAGCCCUGCUCGUAAGGGCCAUGAUGACUUGACGUCAUCCCCACCUUCCUCCAGUUUGUCACUGGCAGUCUCCUUAGAGUUCCCACCAUAACCCGUUGCAAAAUAAGGAAAAGGGUGGCCUUCUUGCCGGAAUUUAACCCAACUUUUCACAACACAACUUGACAACAGCCAUGCACAACCGGCUUUCAGUUUCCCAAAGGACCCAUCCAUUCUCUGAAAGGUUUCUGCAUUGCAAAAGCAAGGAAAGGUCCUUCCCUUUGCUUCAAAUAAAACAACUGGCUCAACCGCUGGGGCGGCCCCCCUCAAAUCAAUUUAAUUUUAAACUUGGCGACGGAAUUCCCAAGGCGGCCAACUAAUCCCGUAACUUGCGUUAGCUCCGCCACCAAAACCUCAAGGACACAAACUCCAAGUAGACAUCGUUUACGGCGUGGACUACCAGGGUAUCUAAUCCUGGUUUGCUCCCCACGCUUUCGCACCUCAAGCGUCAGUAUUAGUCCAGGUGGCCGCCUUCGCCACCGGUAUUCCUCCAUAUAUCUACGCAUUUCACCGCUACACCCUGAAAUUCUACCACCCCUCUACAACACUCUAGCCAGCCAGUUACGAAUGCAAUCUCCCAGGUUGAGCCCGGGGAUUUCACAUCCAACUUAACAAACCCGCCUACGCGCGCUUUACGCCCAGUAAUUCCGAUUAACGCUUGCACCCUCCCGUAUUACCGCGGCUGCUGGCACAAAGUUAGCCGGUGCUUAUUCUGCGGGUAACGUCAAUUAACUAAGGUAUUAACCUACUGACCUUCCUCCCCCCUUAAAGUACUUUACAAACCGAAGGCCUUCUUCAUACACCCGGCAUGGCUGGAUCAAGCUUGCGCCCAUUGUGCAAUAUUCCCCACUGCUGCCUCCCGUAAGAAUCUGGACCGUGUCUCAAUUCCAGUGGGGCUGGACAUCCUCUCAGACCACCUAAGGAUCGUCGCCUAGGUGAGCCCUUACCCCACCCACUAACUAAUCCCAUCUGAGCACAUCUGAUGGCAAGAGGCCCGAAGGACCCCCUCUUUGCUCUUGCGACAUUAUGCGGUAUUAGCUAUCCUUUCCAAAAGUUAUCCCCCUCCACCAAGCAGAAUCCCAGACAUUACUCACCCGUCCGC
rnacentral:rRNA from 1 species